AUUGAACGCUGGCGGCAGGCCUAACACAUGCAAGUCGAGCGGAUGAAGGGAGCUUGCUCCUGGAUUCAGCGGCGGACGGGUGAGUAAUGCCUAGGAAUCUGCCUGGUAGUGGGGGAUAACGUCCGGAGACGGGCGCUAAUACCGCAUACGUCCUGAGGGAGAAAGUGGGGGAUCUUCGGACCUCACGCUAUCAGAUGAGCCUAGGUCGGAUUAGCUAGUUGGUGGGGUAAAGGCCUACCAAGGCGACGAUCCGUAACUGGUCUGAGAGGAUGAUCAGUCACACUGGAACUGAGACACGGUCCAGACUCCUACGGGAGGCAGCAGUGGGGAAUAUUGGACAAUGGGCGAAAGCCUGAUCCAGCCAUGCCGCGUGUGUGAAGAAGGUCUUCGGAUUGUAAAGCACUUUAAGUUGGGAGAAAGGGCAGUAAGUUAAUACCUUGCUGUUUUGACGUUACCAACAGAAUAAGCACCGGCUAACUUCGUG
rnacentral:rRNA from 1 species